GUAUUCGAAAAUAUUUUGUGAACAGUCCCAUUAUGAGUCACCACCAGUGACCUUGCUGCCAUUUUCCGAUACUCCACCACAGCUAUCUGCAGUUGGUGUGUUACAAAGCUGAGAGAUCGUUGCCACUGUAGAGAGGACCUUGUUAGGUAUCGAUAAAAAUAAGGGUGGAUUCCUCGAAGGAGUAAGGUGUUUUGCCUUGCAGUGCUGACAUGAUAUGUCUCUUGUCAUGUGAAAAUGAACAGUGGAUAAUAGCAUUCCUCCUCACUCCCAUCACACUUCGACAUCCCUACAUUACCAUCCUUACUUAUGCUCCCAUCACUCUAGUGUCUCGAUAAUUUCCCUUCGUUCCGGUCCUCUCAUCACUCCCAGUCCCUACAUCACUCUAAUUUAUCUUUCCUUUUAUGUCCUCCUAUCACUCCUUUCCUAUUCUCCCAGCUAUACCCAUACCAUCCUUCUCUAUGUUCCCAUCACCUAAAUCUUUCCCUCUCUAUUCUCCAUCACUCCCCUUUUAUCCAUAUGCUCCCUAUCAUUUUGUUUUAAAUAUGUUUAUUUGUUUCAUAGCAUAUUCCAAUGCAAACGUAUAACAGGUUAAAGCGGG